rnacentral:rRNA from 1 species
GUUUGAUGUUCUAACGUGGACCCGUGAUCCGGGUUGCGGACAGUGUCUGGUGGGUAGUUUGACUGGGGCGGUCUCCUCCUAAAGAGUAACGGAGGAGCACGAAGGUUGGCUAAUCCUGGUCGGACAUCAGGAGGUUAGUGCAAUGGCAUAAGCCAGCUUGACUGCGAGCGUGACGGCGCGAGCAGGUGCGAAAGCAGGUCAUAGUGAUCCGGUGGUUCUGAAUGGAAGGGCCAUCGCUCAACGGAUAAAAGGUACUCCGGGGAUAACAGGCUGAUACCGCCCAAGAGUUCAUAUCGACGGCGGUGUUUGGCACCUCGAUGUCGGCUCAUCACAUCCUGGGGCUGAAGUAGGUCCCAAGGGUAUGGCUGUUCGCCAUUUAAAGUGGUACGCGAGCUGGGUUUAGAACGUCGUGAGACAGUUCGGUCCCUAUCUGCCGUGGGCGCUGGAGAACUGAGGGGGGCUGCUCCUAGUACGAGAGGACCGGAGUGGACGCAUCACUGGUGUUCGGGUUGUCAUGCCAAUGGCACUGCCCGGUAGCUAAAUGCGGAAGAGAUAAGUGCUGAAAGCAUCUAAGCACGAAACUUGCCCCGAGAUGAGUUCUCCCUGAGACUUAGAGUCUCCUGAAGGAACGUUGAAGACGACGACGUUGAUAGGCCGGGUGUGUAAGCGCAGCGAUGCGUUGAGCUAACCGGUACUAAUGAACCGUGAGGCUUAACCUU